UAAGGAAUAUUGGUCAAUGGACGCAAGUCUGAACCAGCCAUGCCGCGUGGAGGAUGAAGGUCCUCUGGAUUGUAAACUUCUUUUAUCUGGGACGAAACACUUCUUUUCUAAGAGGCCUGACGGUUCCAGAUGAAUAAGCACCGGCUAACUCCGUGCCAGCAGCCGCGGUAAUACGGAGGGUGCAAGCGUUAUCCGGAUUCACUGGGUUUAAAGGGUGCGUAGGUGGGUAUGUAAGUCAGUGGUGAAAUCCCCGAGCUUAACUUGGGAACUGCCAUUGAUACUAUAUAUCUUGAAUACCGUAGAGGUAAGCGGAAUAUGUCAUGUAGCGGUGAAAUGCUUAGAUAUGACAUGGAACACCAAUUGCGAAGGCAGCUUACUAUGCGGUGAUUGACACUGAGGCACGAAAGCGUGGGUAGCAAACA
rnacentral:rRNA from 1 species